rnacentral:rRNA from 1 species
CACGUAGGGUGCGAGCGUUGUCCGGAAUUAUUGGGCGUAAAGAGCUCGUAGGCGGUGUGUCGCGUCGGCCGUGAAAACCUGCAGCUUAACUGUGGGCGUGCGGUCGAUACGGGCAUCACUGGAGUUCGGCAGGGGAGACUGGAAUUCCUGGUGUAGCGGUGAAAUGCGCAGAUAUCAGGAAGAACACCCGUGGCGAAGGCGGCUCUCUGGAACGCAACUGACGCUGAGACGCGAAAGCGUGGGGAGCAAACAGG